UGGGGAAUAUUGGACAAUGGGGGGCAACCCUGAUCCAGCAAUGCCGCGUGUGUGAAGAAGGUCUUCGGAUUGUAAAGCACUUUCGACGGGGACGAUGAUGACGGUACCCGUAGAAGAAGCCCCGGCUAACUUCGUGCCAGCAGCCGCGGUAAUACGAAGGGGGCUAGCGUUGCUCGGAAUGACUGGGCGUAAAGGGCGUGUAGGCGGUUUACACAGUCAGAUGUGAAAUCCCCGGGCUUAACCUGGGAGCUGCAUUUGAUACGUGUAGACUAGAGUGUGAGAGAGGGUUUGUGGAAUUCCCAGUGUAGAGGUGAAAUUCGUAGAUAU
rnacentral:rRNA from 1 species